CCCGCGUGCAUGACGGAGAAAUACACGCUGCAGUCACUCGACGAGUGUAGAGAAGGUUCAAACUAUUUUAUGAUGAAAUAUGCUUCAUGGAGGAGUAAUUUAUGUUCCAUUACGCGCGUCGAGUUCGGCCGUAAAUUUUUGUAACGCGAGGAAGAAACUUUUUCGCAGCUGUAAGAAAGAAGUUAUCACGAGGAUCCAGGCUGGCAGAAAUAAUGGCACGCUCUCGCACAACGUACAUAGAAGUUAAUAUAUUUACGUAUACGCGAAAGGGAGCCACCCAACUGAGCAAUAUUUUCAUAUAUUCCACUGUUGCAGUGCUAUUUGCCAACGGGAAACAAUCUGCGAAAAAGAGAAAUGCAGAGAGAAACUUGCCCAAUAUUUAACUGAAACAAACCGGCGACUAGUUAGGUCGAAAUAAAUCCGAGCCGAGAUUUGGCUACCAUAUCCGCCCCAUUCUGCGUUGAGAGAGCGAAAAUCAAUGUGAAUUCCACCAAGUUAAAUGGCCACGUUGUGCAUGAGAAUUUAUCGCUUCUCAGGGACCGUGAGAGAUAAACGCUGGAAAACAUUAACCAGGAGCUGUUGAAAUUUGUGAACGUUGCACCACCCAGUCACAACGUGGUGGAUGACGAGUGAACUCCGGCUAACUCUAGUAAUCCGGUUAAUCCGGUUUGCCGCAUAAUCUACCGUCGCAAAUUAUUCCAGAUAUCUUGCUCGAAUCUCAAGCCGGGACUGUCAUGAUGCGUUUCGCGUUAGUUUCUAUCUAUACUAUAUACGUUCAGCUUCGAGUUGUCUAAACUCGUAACAUUAUCCGUAAUGCUGAAUGCGUAAAGUUCUAGCUUUAAGGCAUUAUUACGCCACUGUGCAUUAAAUGCAUAAACCGUUAUUCUCUCUGACAAUAUAACAUAAUUAUCAACAUCAAUUUAUAUUAAUUUAUAUAAAUAAUUAAUUAUAUAUUUCGACUUAAUUAAA